rnacentral:rRNA from 1 species
AAUGAACGCUGGCGGCAGGCCUAACACAUGCAAGUCGAACGGAUCCUUCGGGAUUAGUGGCGGACGGGUGAGUAACGCGUGGGAACGUACCCUUUCUUCGGAAUAGCCUCGGGAAACUGGGAGUAAUACCGGAUAAGCCCUAUUGGGGAAAGAUUUAUCGGGAAGGGAUCGGCCCGCGUUGGAUUAGGUAGUUGGUGGGGUAAUGGCCUACCAAGCCGACGAUCCAUAGCUGGUUUGAGAGGAUGAUCAGCCACACUGGGACUGAGACACGGCCCAGACUCCUACGGGAGGCAGCAGUGGGGAAUCUUAGACAAUGGGGGAAACCCUGAUCUAGCCAUGCCGCGUGAUCGAUGAAGGCCUUAGGGUUGUAAAGAUCUUUCAGUGGGAAGAUAAUGACGGUACCACAGAAGAAGCCCCGGCUAAAC